AUCUAAGCAAGACUCUACAUCUGUGAGCAGGUUUCCUAAACUUACCUUUCACUUUCUUCAGCUAUGAAAUGGGUGAAGAAUAGUAAGGACUACCUCCUAGAGGAUUAAAUGUGAUCAUCUGUGUCAUGCGCUGAGCGCCAUGCCUGGCGCCUGGUGAAUUCCCCGUCGCUCUCUGAGCCUCUGUUACUACCAUGGCGAUUACCCUUCGGUGUGACAGCCUCUGUUACUACCAUGGUGAUUACCCUUCGGUGUGACAGCAGCAGCAGUAUCCUGUAGAAGGGGACCUCUGAAGUUGAAUAUCGAAGAGCAGGUCAUACCCACCAACACGUGUGCACACUCACCUUUACUGGUCAACGUGGUCUGAGGCAACAACAUCCUCUCCAGUAUCCUCUCUCCAUCACCACCACCACCAUCAUCAGUCAGAAGCAGGUGGCAGCGAUGGGCAUUGCAGCAGGCCUGAGCUGCCCCAUCUUCUAUCUUCUCUACACACAUGAAGAAUUCACCUUGCUCAGGUGGCCCGGAAAACAGAGGAGGAGCUUCAGAUGCGGCCUGGGUUUCCUCUGCCUUCCCAGAGGCCAAAGAGACAUCUGUUCCUGUGGCUACCACGUCAGCACAAAAUGUGUGCCAAGGGAACAGCAGGAAGGAGAGUGUGUAAAUCGGCUGGUCUUCUGUGAGUGUUUCAAACUGCCUCGUAGAAGCCCAGAGCUAUUGUUGGGAGGAGAUCCCUGAACUGUUGCUGACCACUGAGGCUCCCAGCCUCCUCCAUCAGCUUGCACAGGGGACUGUGAGGCUUAAUGAGCUGAUUGUCAUUUAGAUGAUCAAGGGUACAAUUCUUAGCCCAGGGGCCCACAGCCCUACCUGCUCUGCCUGAGCAAGCCUGAGGAGUCUGGGAAGCUUUAUGUUCCACUCUAGAAAAAAAGACAUGAUUUCCCAUCUUUCAUAAUCAAACCAACUCACACUUAUUCACAGCCUGGCAGGCUUUCAGCACUGCGUGGGCAUCAGUCAACUCUUCAUUCGGUCCAUUCCACGGCAAGCCUGUGGCCCGAGCAAGAGGCAGGUACUAAGACAUAUUUAGUGUGCAGUUUGUGCCUUCUAGAAAUGUACAGACUAUUAGGGGAGAUGAGACAGAGGUGUUGCAAAAUGACUGUGUAAAACAAUAGGCGUUGAAUGUGGCGAGGGUCAGUUGAAAACAGCUCUGAUGACAAUGAGCAGACAAAGAAAAGAUUUGUGACAUCAGAAGUUUUUUUUGCCCACUUUCCAGCCUGGUGAGUGUGGUCCUAGCCUUAGAUAUGGCGGACGUUUUAGGGAGAGGUCAGGGUUCUGACCACCAAGUCCAGGUGAGCUGGACAGGUUUGGUGGUGAGGAGAGCGCAGCAGGAGAGAGCGAAGACGACGCUCACCGUGUGGGUCUGUGAGCCAGGUCAGCUGUUUCUAGCACAUUUAUAGAAGCAAGGAGAGCUGGCCUCGUGGGACAGGACAUAAAGAUGGGGAAACUGAGAGGCUUUUUGCUCCUCUCAUGUAAGACUUUUGAUAUUAAAAUCAAAACAAAUAUUUGUUGUGAACCUAUUUAUCUGUGUCAUGCUCUGGAUUAGGGACUUUCGUUCUGUUAUUUAAUUUACAACACAGCCCUUUGGAUGUGCUUCACAAUUCCGACUUCCCAGAUUAUUAAACUGAGGCGCAAAGAAGGAAAUGACUCACGCACUGGCAAGUGUUGAGCCGGAUUAUACAGU
rnacentral:lncRNA from 13 species